rnacentral:rRNA from 1 species
AGAGUUUGAUCCUGGCUCAGGACGAACGCUGGCGGCGUGCUUAACACAUGCAAGUCGAGCGAGGCCCUCCUUCGGGGGGUGCCCUAGCGGCGAACGGGUGAGUAACACGUGGGCAACCUGCCCUCAGCUCUGGGAUAACUCCAAGAAAUUGGUGCUAAUACCGGAUGUGACCGCUGACCGCAUGGUCUGGUGGUGGAAAGAUUCAUCGGCUGAGGAUGGGCCCGCGGCCUAUCAGCUUGUUGGUGGGGUAAUGGCCCACCAAGGCGACGACGGGUAGCCGGCCUGAGAGGGUGACCGGCCACACUGGGACUGAGACACGGCCCAGACUCCUACGGGAGGCAGCAGUGGGGAAUAUUGCGCAAUGGGCGAAAGCCUGACGCAGCGACGCCGCGUGAGGGAUGACGGCCUUCGGGUUGUAAACCUCUUUCAGUAGGGACGAAGCGCAAGUGACGGUACCUACAGAAGAAGCACCGGCCAACUACGUGCCAGCAGCCGCGGUAAUACGUAGGGUGCAAGCGUUGUCCGGAAUUAUUGGGCGUAAAGAGCUCGUAGGCGGUCUGUCACGUCGGCUGUGAAAACCCGAGGCUCAACCUCGGGCCUGCAGUCGAUACGGGCAAACUAGAGUACUGCAGGGGAGACUGGAAUUCCUGGUGUAGCGGUGAAAUGCGCAGAUAUCAGGAGGAACACCGGUGGCGAAGGCGGGUCUCUGGGCAGUAACUGACGCUGAGGAGCGAAAGCGUGGGGAGCGAACAGGAUUAGAUACCCUAGUAGUCC